GUGCUUGCUUCAGCAGCACACCUACUAAAAUUGGAACGAUGUAGAGAAGAUUAGCAGGAAUGACACACAAAUUUGUGAAGUGCUCCAUAUUGAA
rnacentral:snRNA from 1 species